GACAGAGGGGGCAAGCGUUGCUCGGAAUUACUGGGCGUAAAGGGCGCGUAGGCGGGAUGGCAAGUCGGUCGUGAAAUCCCUCGGCUCAACCGAGGAACGUCGAUCGAUACUGCUGUUCUUGAGGAUUGCAGAGGAGACUGGAAUUCCUGGUGUAGCAGUGAAAUGCGUAGAUAUCAGGAGGAACACCGAUGGCGAAGGCAGGUCUCUGGGCUGAAACUGACGCUCAUGCACGAAAGCGUGGGGAGCAAACAGG
rnacentral:rRNA from 1 species